AGAGUUUGAUCCUGGGCUCAGGAUGAACGCUGGCGGCGUGCCUAAUACAUGCAAGUCGAGCGAACAGACGAGGAGCUUGCUCCUUUGACGUUAGCGGCGGACGGGUGAGUAACACGUGGGUAACCUACCUAUAAGACUGGGAUAACUUCGGGAAACCGGAGCUAAUACCGGAUAAUAUUUCGAACUGCAUGGUUCGAUAGUGAAAGAUGGCUUUGCUAUCACUUAUAGAUGGACCUGCGCCGUAUUAGCUAGUUGGUAAGGUAACGGCUUACCAAGGCAACGAUACGUAGCCGACCUGAGAGGGUGAUCGGCCACACUGGAACUGAGACACGGUCCAGACUCCUACGGGAGGCAGCAGUAGGGAAUCUUCCGCAAUGGGCGAAAGCCUGACGGAGCAACGCCGCGUGAGUGAUGAAGGUCUUCGGAUCGUAAAACUCUGUUAUUAGGGAAGAACAAACGUGUAAGUAACUGUGCACGUCUUGACGGUACCUAAUCAGAAAGCCACGGCUAACUACGUG
rnacentral:rRNA from 1 species